GCUUCCGUAGCUCAGUCGGUAGAGCAGCGGAUUCUUAAUCCGCGGGUCGAAGGUUCAAGUCCUUCCGGGAGUACCA
rnacentral:tRNA from 1 species